rnacentral:misc_RNA from 1 species
UUUCCGUAGGUGAACCUGCGGAAGGAUCAUUACUGAGUGAGGGCCCCUCGGGGCCCAACCUCCCACCCGUGUUUAACGAACCUUGUUGCUUCGGCGGGCCCGCCUCACGGCCGCCGGGGGGCAUCUGCCCCCGGGCCCGCGCCCGCCGAAGCCACCUGUGAACGCUGUCUGAAGUAUGCAGUCUGAGACAAUUAUUAAAUUAAUUAAAACUUUCAACAACGGAUCUCUUGGUUCCG